GAAUUGCUCUUAUAAGAAGGGGGCUCUGCUUUUUAGGGAGAAACCUCCCAUUCAGCCCAUUCUAAUCCGCUGAGAAUCUCAUGACUCCAGGGGGGGAAAAAAGAGGGGAGUGGGAUAGAAUCCCCUUGCUCUUCCAUCGGAACACAUUCCCCUGAAUCCAACUGAGAUGCCUCCUGCUUUUUUUCUACCAUCACAGGGCAGCUUGUUAGAAAUGCAGAUUCAUGAGCCCUGUUCCAGACCCAACUGAAGGAAGCUCUGAGGAUGGGGCCCUGGAAUCUGAGUUUCCACAAGUUGGAGAAGGACUAUAGCUCCCGCGUGAAUCGGGAACCAGCUGGCCACCCUGAUCUUCGCAGACUUAAAAAUGCUUAGCGUCACUAUGCCACCUUUUCUCCAGCGAAAUCAUUUCUUAUAUCUCCCCCUGGGUUGUUUUAUUUGACCAGUCAUCUGGUCAACCCAUACAUUCCACGUUUGACAGCCACGUUAGGUCACCAGUUAGGAGUCCCACAUGCCUCCAAAUCUUAGCACUCUGAGACACGAAGAAAAGAAGCUCCAGGUGACUGCAUUAAAACAACAACAACAACAAUAAAACACCAAACUUUAAAAACUGCCACAUACAGUUUAAUUUCCUUAAAAGCUUGGCCGGAAAAGGUUUUUGUGGUGUCGACCCCAGCUGGGCUGGGCCGAAGUUCUGUACUUGGGGGAGGGGAGCGGGCAGAAGGAGAGCCCAGGCUGGUGUUUUGAGCGGUUGCUCGGGGAGUGUUUAUCUUCUCCCUCCAGGAGACACACACUCUCAGUUUCUGGUCAUGAAAGGGGAACCCUGCAUUUUAUAGAAAAGGAGUCACAGAAACAAUGUUUGCAGCGAAAAAGAAAAAAAAAAAGGCGCAAUCUCCCCAGAGGAAAAGGAACCACGCUGUUUGUCCCUCUGUAACUGAGCAACACCCCGACGGCUGGGGCUGGCUGUAUCUUCUGCGGUUUUUCUUGCUCUUUUCCGCGGAGGUUCACUUCCACCCUCUUAACGCUCCACAAGUGAAAAAGCAGGCGGGGCGGCCGCGGGCCCCAGCUGCAGGGGAUCCCGGCCCAGGAGCAGCGCAGCCCCCUCCUCCAAGCCUGGGGGCCGGACGGGGGCGGGUCCAGGCGCCCGGGCGCUGCGCCCGGCGGGCGGUAGA
rnacentral:lncRNA from 1 species